AUUGAACGCUGGCGGCAGGCCUAACACAUGCAAGUCGAACGAGUGGCGGACGGGUGAGUAAUGUCUGGGAAACUGCCUGAUGGAGGGGGAUAACUACUGGAAACGGUAGCUAAUACCGCAUACCAUCAGAUGUGCCCAGAUGGGAUUAGCUUGUUGGUGGGGUAACGGCUCACAAAGCCGACGAUCCCUAGCGGGUAUGAGAGGAUGACAAGCAACACUGUAGCUGUGACACGGUCCAGAGUCCUACGGGAGACAGCAGUGGGGAAUAUGGCACAAGAGGCGCAAGCCUGAUGCAGCCAUGCCGCGUGUAUUAAGAAGGCCUUCGGGUUGUAAAGUACUUUCAGCGGGGAGGGGUUAGCCGCAGAAGAAGCAACGGCUAACUCCGUGCCAGCAGCCGCGGUAAUAC
rnacentral:rRNA from 1 species